CCUACGGGGGGCAGCAGUGGGGGAUAUUGCACAAUGGGGGAAACCCUGAUGCAGCGACGCCGCGUGUGGGAAGACGGUCCUCUGGAUUGUAAACCACUGUCCCCAGGGACGAAGAUGACGGUACCUGGGGAGGAAGCUCCGGCUAACUACGAGCCAGCAGCCGCGGUAAUACGUAGGGAGCAAGCGGUGUCCGGAAUUACUGGGUGUAAAGGGAGCGUAGGCGGGAUGGCAAGUUGGGUGUUAAAUCUACCGGCUCAACUGGUAGUCGCACUCAAAACUGCUAUUCUUGAGUGAAGUAGAGGCAGGCGGAAUGCGUAGUGUAGCGGUGAAAUGCGUAGAUAUUAGGAGGAACACCAGUGGCGAAGGCGGCCUGCUGGGCUUUUACUGACGCUGAGGCUCGAAAGUGUGGGGAGCGAACAGGAUUAGAUACCCCAGUAGUC
rnacentral:rRNA from 1 species